rnacentral:misc_RNA from 1 species
AUUAUUUCUUUGAUAAUUCUUGAAAUGAAUUACAAGAUCAGCUUGUUGAGAAUUUAUAUCUCUAACUCAACAACUACUUCUCUAAAGUCUAACAAAGCUUAUGCAACUAACUGAAUCUGUUAUAUCUUCCUUACAGAAUUAGUUGUACAAUCUAACUCCCUUUCCUGCCAAUGUUCCCUUAUACUUUUUCUUAUAAAAUAUGCAACAGAGAGAUGGUUUCCCAAUUGAACUAGUGGCAACUAGCAAGGAACAUAUCAUAGACCAUAAACAAUCCAAAUUCAAAUCCAGUCCAAAAGAAAAUCACAAACAAUAAACAAGUC